rnacentral:rRNA from 1 species
GACGAACGCUGGCGGCGUGCCUAAUACAUGCAAGUAGGACGCAGUUGCGAACGGGUGAGUAACGCGUAGGUAACUACCUAUUAGAGGGGGAUAACUAUUGGAAACGAUAGCUAAUACCGCAUACUAGUAGAUGGACCUGCGUUGUAUUAGCUAGUAGGUAGGUAAUGGCCUACCUAGGCAACGAUACAUAGCCGACAUUAGAGGGUGAUCGGCCACACGGGGACUGAGACACGGCCCAGACUCCUUCGGGAGGCAGCAGUAGGGAAUCUUCGGCAAUGGGGGGAACCCUGACCGAGCAACGCCGCGUGAGUGAAGAAGGUUUUCGGAUCGUAAAGCUCUGUUGUUAAGGAAGCGGUACCUAAUCAGAAAGCCACGGCUAACUACGUGCCAGCAGCCGCGGUAAUAC